CCUACCUCAUCCUCUGUGUAGGCAAGGAUGCCAGCCAUGGGCCCUUGGGCUGCUGCUUUUAUGGCGUCUUUGAUGGCCUCGUACGAGGCCUGAGGUGGUGACCCAGGUGUGGAGGCUGGUGGGACCACCACAGACCACAGGAGGGCCAUGUGCAGGCCAGGGUCCAGCCCUGUUUGCAAGUUGCCCGGUGUUUUAAGAGACUUCACCACUUGGCUCUUCCUCCCGAAACCGUCUCUCCUUGUUCACCCCACACACUAAGCAAGUCUAGGAAGGAGAGGUAGAGUUUCCCUGCCACCCCUCCUGCCUCAGCCGCUCUCUCCAACUCACCAUCAGCCCUUCCACGAUCCCAAACUGCUCAUGGAUGACCUUGGCAAGGGGUGCCAGGCAGUUGGUCGUGCAGGAGGCAUUGCUGAAACGGCGCGGGUGUGCAAGGGCCCUGUGAGGUGAGUCGCAGAGCCAGCCCGGCACCCUCCCCUCCCUCUCGGGUGAUGCACACAGGCCUGGUUUUGUGGAAGUCAGGUUGGGGAUGAGUGGGAUCACUGGGGGUGCCCCAGAGGUAUGGCUGGGGAAGCUCCCCAAGCGUGUUCUCCAGGAGUCCUACUGUUCUGUUAACAUGAGGGCGUUAGGGCUUUGGGAAGGGAGGUGUGAAGCAGCACCAGGGGUCUCCUGGGAGUGGGGGUGAAGAGAGGGAGGCUGGCAUUUCCUCUGGGUGCCACCCACACACUUCAGAAUGUUGCUGCCCGUUACCUGACAACUUUCAUGGAGCCAGGAUCAUAGUUCUUCUCGUUUACUCCCAUGACAAAUAUGGGCGCAUCGGGUGAGGGUGCAGAGAUGACCACACGCGUGGCACCAGCCUCGAUGUGGUCCUAGAGGAGGAGCACAGGUGUCAGGGGGCCCUUCGAGUGCCACCUCCACACCCCCUCUCCCCGCGCAGCCCUGGGCAUCUGUCCCCCACUUACUGAAGCCUCCUGUAAGGACAGGUACACGCCUGUGGACUCCACCACAAAGGGGUUCCCGACAGACUUCCAGGGAAUAUCUCGGGGCUGCUUGCUGUGGAGGGGUGGCAGCGCCCGAGUCAGUCUCUUCCUGCACGGCCUGGCCUUUGCCGUCAUGGCCUUCAGUGUUCCAAAGGCUGACUGGACGCCUUCCUGCCUGGCCUGCAACCGUCUCCCCCCCCCCGCCCCCCCCGCCAGGCCAACAUCCUAGCUGUUGGGAGUCCACCCUGCUGGUCUCCCCUUUCAUCACUGACUCCACCUUGCAGGCCACUUUUCUCUUCUUGACUCGACCGCCCCUGUUGUGCCUUCCUGACUCAGGCCUCUGCCCCCCCAGUGGGACCAUCCCUGACUGCUCCCAGCCCAGGUCGGGCCCAUUCUACCUGUGCUGCUCAGAAUGCACCCCAGGAAAGUGAGGCCUGUCCCGCUGCUUCUGGUCCCUGCCCUGGCAACCUCCCCACUGUCCUUGCCCCUCCUUACCACGCGGCUCCUGCACCAAGGGCCUGCUGCCGGAGCCUGGGCAGCUCCCCGAAGACACGCUGCAUCCCCGGGAGCAGCUCCCGGGGGGAGGACUGAAGCCUGAGGCAGCCCCCGGGCCAGCAACGGAUAGUGGUUUACAUUGGAAAGGGAAAGGAGGGCCGCCUGGGUGGCCAACUCUUGGUUUCCACUCAGGUCAUGAUCUCGGGGUCAUAGGAUCGAGCCCCGUGUUGGGCUCCCUCUCAGCCUGGAGUCUGCUUGGAUUUCUCUCUCCCUCCCCCCCGUUCUCUUUCUCUCCUCAAAUAAAUAAAUAAAUCUUAAAAGAGAAAAAGAGGGAAA